AACGAACGCUGGCGGCAGGCCUAACACAUGCAAGUCGAACGCCCUAGCAAUAGGGAGUGGCAGACGGGUGAGUAACGCGUGGGAACCUUCCCAGUGGUACGGAAUAACCCAUCGAAAGAUGGGCUAAUACCGUAUACGCCCGCAAGGGGAAAGAUUUAUCGCCAUUGGAUGGGCCCGCGUCGGAUUAGCUAGUUGGUAGGGUAACGGCCUACCAAGGCGACGAUCCGUAGCUGGUCUGAGAGGAUGAUCAGCCACACUGGGACUGAGACACGGCCCAGACUCCUACGGGAGGCAGCAGUGGGGAAUAUUGGACAAUGGGCGCAAGCCUGAUCCAGCCAUGCCGCGUGAGUGACGAAGGCCUUAGGGUUGUAAAGCUCUUUUGGCGGGGACAAUAAUGACGGUACCCGCAGAAUAAGUCCCGGCUAACUUCGUGCCAGCCGCCGCCGUAAAAC
rnacentral:rRNA from 1 species